rnacentral:rRNA from 1 species
AGACCCGAAACCCGGUGAUCUAGCCAUGGGCAGGUUGAAGGUUGGGUAACACUAACUGGAGGACCGAACCGACUAAUGUUGAAAAAUUAGCGGAUGACCUGUGGCUGGGGGUGAAAGGCCAAUCAAACCGGGAGAUAGCUGGUUCUCCCCGAAAGCUAUUUAGGUAGCGCCUCGUGAAUUCAUCUCCGGGGGUAGAGCACUGUUUCGGCUAGGGGGCCAUCCCGGCUUACCAACCCGAUGCAAACUGCGAAUACCGGAGAAUGUUAUCACGGGAGACACACGGCGGGUGCUAACGUCCGUCGUGAAGAGGGAAACAACCCAGACCGCCAGCUAAGGUCCCAAAGUCAUGGUUAAGUGGGAAACGAUGUGGGAAGGCCCAGACAGCCAGGAUGUUGGCUUAGAAGCAGCCAUCAUUUAAAGAAAGCGUAAUAGCUCACUGGUCGAGUCGGCCUGCGCGGAAGAUGUAACGGGGCUAAACCAUGCACCGAAGCUGCGGCAGCGACACUCAGGUGUUGUUGGGUAGGGGAGCGUUCUGUAAGCCUGUGAAGGUGGCCUGUGAGGGUUGCUGGAGGUAUCAGAAGUGCGAAUGCUGACAUAAGUAACGAUAAAGCGGGUGAAAAGCCCGCUCGCCGGAAGACCAAGGGUUCCUGUCCAACGUUAAUCGGGGCAGGGUGAGUCGACCCCUAAGGCGAGGCCGAAAGGCGUAGUCGAUGGGAAACGGGUUAAUAUUCCCGUACUUGGUGUUACUGCGAAGGGGGGACGGAGAAGGCUAUGUUGGCCGGGCGACGGUUGUCCCGGUUUAAGCGUAUAGGUGUGUGUUCCAGGUAAAUCCGGUUCACUUUAACACUGAGGCGUGAUGACGAGGCGCUACGGUGCUGAAGCAACAAAUGCCCUGCUUCCAGGAAAAGCCUCUAAGCAUCAGGUAACAUCAAAUCGUACCCCAAACCGACACAGGUGGUCAGGUAGAGAAUACCAAGGCGCUUGAGAGAACUCGGGUGAAGGAACUAGGCAAAAUGGUGCCGUAACU